UGAACGCUAGCUACAGGCUAACACAUGCAAGUCGAGGGGCAUCGGGGAGUGGCAACACUCUGCCGGCGACCGGCGCACGGGUGAGUAACACGUAUCCAACCUGCCGUCAGCUUGGGGAUAGCCCUCUGAAAGGAGGAUUAAUACCCGAUGUGGUUAUUCGCAGACAUCUGCUUAUAACUAAAGAUUUAUCGGCUGAUGAUGGGGAUGCGUAUGAUUAGCUUGUUGGCGGGGUAACGGCCCACCAAGGCGACGAUCAUUAGGGGUUCUGAGAGGAAGGUCCCCCACAUAGGAACUGAGACACGGUCCUAACUCCUACGGGAGGCAGCAGUGAGGAAUAUUGGUCAAUGGUCGAGAGACUGAACCAGCCAAGUAGCCGUGAAGGAUGACUGCCCUACGGGUUGUAAACUUCUUUUACGGGAGGAUAAAGUGCGGCACGCGUGCCGUUUUGUAGGUAUCCCGUGAAUAAGCAUCGGCUAAUUCCGUGCCAGCCGCGGC
rnacentral:rRNA from 1 species